CAGAAAACUUGCAACUACAAAGGCAUCAUGUCUGCGCCCGAGUCAAUUGGAAACAACACUCAGAAAAAGCUUAUAAAAAUAGUUAUCAGUUUAGACACUGUGUGUCCAUGGUGCUUUGUGGGCAAAAAAAAUCUUGACAAAGCUAUAGCUGCAUCUAAGGAUCACUAUGACUUUAAGGUUUUUAGGGGCCAUGGAUUGGAAUAUAACCUUUCAGGACUCACGGGAAAUACUCUAGACAACCACAGGCUUAUGCAUUUCGCUGGGCAAUAGGGUCUUGAUAAGCAACAUAAUCUUAUGGAGGUGCUCUCUCUUGGCUACUUCACUCAGGCAAAAUUUAUUGGUGACAAAUUGUCAGAUUGAUCGCUACUCAUUCUCUCUCAAUCACGCGCUAUAGUCCACCCCCUCAAUCUUUGCCUUUUAUCAACGCCACCACCAAGGCUUACAUCAGUGAUACUUCAAAUGAAUGUAGUAGCAACUUAUCAAGUGAACAAGGUGGUGAUUCUACAAAGUUUCAAAAAGUUGAUGUUCAAAGCAAUGGGCAACUCACACCAACAUCUAUGCUCAAGGAAAACAAAAAGACAUAUUUAGUGACUAUUACAAAGCAACAAAGGAAGAAGAUACAAAAAACACUUUUUAAUUUUUUUUUUUCAAUUUAUUUGAAAUAUUGAUUAAGUAGUUCUUUAAAUUUGUGUUUCAUACAUUUUAUGGAUAA